rnacentral:rRNA from 1 species
UACGAAGGGGGGUAGCGUUGUUCGGAUUUACUGGGCGUAAAGCGCGUGUAGGCGGGUCGUUAAGUUGGGGGUGAAAUCCCGGAGCUCAACUCCGGAACUGCCUCCAAAACUGGCGACCUGGAGCAGAGGAGAGGCGAGUGGAAUUCCGAGUGUAGAGGUGAAAUUCGUAGAUAUUCGGAGGAACACCAGUGGCGAGGGCGACUCGCUGGACUCUUGCUGACGCUGAGACGCGAAAUCGUGGGGAGCAAACAGG